rnacentral:tRNA from 1 species
AAAACUAUAGUUUAUUAAAAACUUAUGAUUUGCACUCAUAAAAUAUUCUUUUGAAUUAGUUUUG